ensembl:lncRNA
UUUUUUUUUUUUUUGCAGUGUCCGGUGGUAUGAGGUCUACAACGUGUUGUUAGGCUGGGGAGAGCUGAAAGGGGAGGGAGGACUUGUCUGAAUUUAUUGCUAAUCCCAAACAAAUGAAGAAGCAGAAGCCUUCACCUUCUGGAAGCUGGCACAAACAGUUUUUAGAGCAAGCAGAUUUGGAAAAAUGAAACAGUUUUGGAGCAGAAGAACACUUCCUGUGAGUUUGAGGCUGUCCUGUAAAGAUCAAAAGAAGCAUAAUGAGAAGAGCCAGAAUGUUGUUGGCUGCUGGCAGUGUUAUCUGAAUUUGGAUUGAAGUUUCUGUGGGGUUUGAGAGAACGUAAAGUUUUUGAAAAACUUGCCUGAGUUCUUGAGAUUCCCCAGUCAGCUUCUGUUUACUUGUAUUCUGUGGUCUUGAAUUUAUUUUUCCCUUCUUGGAGCAGUCAAAUCAUGAAACCUUUGAGGUUGCUUUCAGGUCUUCUAUUUCAGUGUGGCUGGAGGGGAGGAGGAGAAGCAAAGAUCACAUUCUGUUUUUGAAAUGGUUUGCCUCUGGACUAUCACCUUUUGGCACUGCUUUGAGGAAACUGAGAUAUAGUUCUGUGUAACUUGAUCAUAGAGUUUUAAUAUAUUUUUUUUUUUCCCCAAGCGUUGGCAUUCAUUUGCUUUUUACACUCCAGGUGCACUGGGUUUUAGUCCCGAUUGUGUAAUGUUGCAAUGUAGUGUGAUGUAAAAGUAGAAGAGUGCAAAAUUUACAUUCUCAGUCUUUAUCAGCCAAUCUUUGUUUGCAAUAGUUUGCCCAAACAAGUUAAUGAUAGAAUCUUUUGAGUUGGAAGGGACCUUUAAAGAUCAUCUAAUCCAACUCCCCUGCAAUGAACAGGGCACCUAUAGUUUGAGGUUGCUCAGAGCCUGAUCCAGUGUGACCUUGAACCUCUCCAAGGAGAGGACAUCCACCACCUGUCUGCACAGAGUGUUACAGUGCUUCACAACUCUUGUUGCAAAAAAAAAAAAAAAAAAGUUCAAUCUAAAUGUUCUAUCUAUUUCUCAUUGUCCUGUCACAACAGAUCCUGCUAAAGAGUCUGUCCCCUUCAUUCUUAUAGUCCCUCUUUAGAUACUGAAAGGCUGCUAUCAGGUCUCCCUGGAGCCUUCUCCUCAGGCUGAACAGCCCCAGCUCUCAGCCUGUCCUCUUUGAGAAGGUGUUGCUUCCCUUGGAUCACUUUUGUGGCCCUCCUCUGGAUGUGCUCCAGGAGGUCCACAUCUCUCCUGUACUGAGGACUGCAUGUCUGGACACAGCGUAGAGCUGAGAGGCAGGAUCACCUCCCUUGACCUGCUGACUGCACUUCAUUUGAUUCAUCCCAGAGUACCGUUGGCUUUUUGGGCUGUGAGGGCACAUUGCUGGCUCUUGUCCACCCUGCUGUCCACCAGUAACCCCAAGCCUUUAUUGGCAGGGCUGUGCUCCAUCCAUCCAUACCCCUAUUUGUACUAAUAGCAAGAGUUGCCAUAACCCAGGUGCAAGACCUUGCGCUUAGAUUUAUUGAACCUAUGAGGUUCUCUUGGGCCCACUGCUUGAGCUGGUCUAGGUCUCUCAAGCAUCCUGUCCCUCAGGAGCAUCAAUCAUGCUGCACAGCCUGCUGUUAUCCACAAACUGUGGUGUGUGCACUCAAUCCCAAUGUCAAUGUCAUUGAUGAAGGCAGUAUAAUAAGAACAUUUAAAAAAAAAAAAACUCAUAAAAAUCAUCAACAAAAAAUGUGACAAACUAUAGCAUUCUUAAAAAAAAAACAAAAGGUAUGAGCAAAAAACCCCUUCAUCAUAUGGAUGAGAUUAGCUGGUAAUUAAAAAGCCAACCAAUUUGAGUUAAGAGGUGGAUUAAUUAGAUAAAACACUGGGAAAUCUAAUUUACUCAGCAAUUUAUUUUUAAUCCAAGUCAAGAAGAUCUUAUCAGGGCCUCUAUGAAGCUUGGAGGAACCCAGUCAGAUUUAAUUAUACUCUUGUGUAAUGACCCACAUCUCUUAAGUUUUAUGAUUGUAAUUUAUUUUAUUUAUAAAUAGAUGUAUGUUUAAGAUCUAAAGAGUAUUGAGACCAUUCGAUAGGCAGUUUUGAUGCAUUAAUACUGAAACUGCAGAUGGAAACAAUUUUAUGCUGUUAUCCUUGAAAUACAACUGUUGGCCUGGAGUACUGAAUUUUCUUUAUUCCUUAUGUAUCAAAAAUCUAUUUUUCUGUUCAUGUGUUAAAACUGUCUUUUUACCACUGGGCACCUAAAUGUUCAGAGAAGGGGUAAGACAAUGAAUACAUCUUCCCUGUGUAACGCUACAUGCUUUGAAGGCUAAUUAUUUUCCUGGACGUUUUCCUAACCAGAUCCCUUAGUUAGAAAAUGCACGUAUCAUGUUAAGAUUGUGUAGACUGAAAGUGGAUACUAGUGAAGACACUGCAGAUAAAAACACUUGUUCAGGACUAGAUAAAACUCUGCAAUAUGGGUACACAGCAGCAAUUUUAUUGAGGUUUCCCCAUUGACUUAAAUAUUUAGUUUAACUGCCUUGAGCAAACAGUCUUGUAUUGAUGCGGUUUUCUCCUAUGUUAUGGAAGUACAUGAAGGUUAAGCAUCUUCAGGCCUGUGGUGUGGCUCACAGGGUCAUCCAGGAUGAUGUCACCCUGUCCCAUGUCUGUCAUGUUUCUGAAGGAGGAGAAACUUACUGAAGAAUAAGUUUUUGAGGAGAGAAAUCACUUAGGCUUGAGUUACACUUUUUUCAGCCCUAAAUGCAUAUUCCAAAAGUGGCAGGAAAAAGUUUGGGAAUGUUAAUUGUUAAAACUUUGAAAUAAAUGUUUUCAGUUAGGCUAUUCGUAAAUCUCCAGUCCCCAUUACAAAUAAAUAAUCCUUCAGAGUAAAGCUAUGGACUAUCCUAAGAAGGUAUUUUUUUUCAAUUUGUCUUCCAUUAAAACACCUUCAAAAAUACCUUCAUAUCCUAUUUUUUUUUACAUGAACUGAAUGAAUUUUUAAUAUACCGUUCAGUUCUGCAACCAACCCAACAUAUACAUUAUUCAUGUGGAUCUGCAUCUCCAGAUAAUUAUAAGGAACUUCCUGAGUAAUGUCAGAGGUGUUUGUGCUAGCACAGGAAAGGUGAGUCAGGCGGCAAGAAAAACUUCUCGCUGCUCUGCUUGUGGAGUCAGCUGUAUCCCAGAGAGGGAUUUCUUGCAUGGCCAAGAAAUGAGUUGUCAUAACUGGACUCGUUGGAAAAGAUUUUUUUUCCAGUUACUCUACUUUUGUGGGUUCAUUUUCAGGAUUUCUUACUGGCCCUACAGAUAAACUCUAGAUGUGCUUAGGUACAACAGCUAGAUUCAAGAUAAGAUAUUCUUCAAGCGUACGUUCCAUAUCUAUGGGCAUAAGAUGUAAGAUUUGAGUGUUUUCAGCCCAGUUGUAACUUCAGAAUUACUUUAAGGAAUUCAAAGCAAGGUCUGUCUUUGAUUUCUAGUUGUACUAUGUGAAACUUUGGUAAAUGCAGCUGUAUUUGAAGACAACAGUGUAUUCUCUAGCUGGAUCUGUGCUGUGUUGGCAGGUUGUGUUUUCUGGAAUUAUGUGAAAGAGAGACUGUAGGCAGCAGUGCUCUUGUCCUGCCAUUCCGUCAGUGCACAUCUUUAUCAUCUUGAAUGCCAUCCUGUGAUUAAAGGGCAAAAGGGGAGGGAAUGGUAGCAGGCUGAUAGACAUCAGUGCUUAUGCAGUCUGUCUUAUUUGCUAAGGCUGCCAGCUAAGUGAACUUGGAAUGAAGGUACUCAAUAACACUUUGUUCCUGUAAGAUCACUUUUGAAGAAUUUCACGGAAUGUACUAUAAUUAUGAUGGCCACAGUAUGUGAUACUGGAUUCUCCUUCAAGAGCUAAAACUAGUGAUUUAAAAGUGCAAAUCAUUCUCAAGUUGUGGAAGAACAGGAGGAAAAUGAUUAGAAAGGAAAGCUUAGAAUUGGAAGUCCGUAAGCAGAGGUUUACUGUGCGAUGGAAAUGUGACACCCUCAGUCCAGAUGGGUGCUGGUGUUACCCAGAAGACAUCCUCCAUUUCUUGACGAAGUGAAACAAGCGCAGACCCCUAGACAAGUGGGGAAGUAAUAAAUGUAAGAAAUAUAAACGAAAUGCUAAAAUUUAGAUGUAGAAAAACAGUUCUUAAAAGAUCAGGGAAACUAAGGGCAUAGAGGGGAAAAUAGAAGCAGAAGGGGAGAGUCCCUGUGUAUUGGGGGGGGAAAAGCUGUGAUGUGAUUCUUAGAAAAAGGAUGGUUGUAAGCAGUAUUUUUGGAAUUCAUAUAAAUUUUUAUAAGAAUGCACCAAAGUUAAAUGCUCUUGGGAAAUGCCUGUUCUAUAAGUAGAAGAAUUUAAUUAAAGUCCAUCCUACGGAUUUUUUUAUUUAGAAAAAUAACCCUAGGCAAGCCCAGAGCUUCCUUUGAGAUUACAACUUUAAAUACAGCUGCAUUAAUUGAACUCCUGUAAGCUUCUAAAAGGUGCUUGAUUAAGAAGUCUAGUGUUUUGCUUCUUAAAUAUAUGGAAUGAGCAAACUGACUGAUUUCAAAGGUAGAUGCCAACAGGAUAUUGUUUGUUUCAUCUAAGGUCACUGAUCAAUGUCAAUGAUUGCAAAAGUAACAUAACAGCAUUUUUAGCAGUUGUUUGGAACUGGCAGGUGAGUUAGAGGAGGGCUAAAUAAAGUUUAAAACUCUGGCAUGGAGAAAUAUCCAUCUUUUACCUAGUUUUUUUCAAGGGUUUUUGAUUUACUGAAAGAAAACUGGAUAUCUGAAACAUUGAAUCGCAAUGUUCCUGUGAAGAGUGUAUUUUGGAUAUCUCUGUUGGAAGGGUGAAUUAAACAGGCAAUUAUUCUUAAAGCCAUUCUGUCCUCACCUACAUGG